rnacentral:rRNA from 1 species
UAGGGAAUCUUCCACAAUGGGGGAAACCCUGAUGCAGCGACGCCGCGUGAGUGAAGAAGUAUCUCGGUAUGUAAAGCUCUAUCAGCAGGAAAGAUAAUGACGGUACCUGACUAAGAAGCCCCGGCUAACUACGUGCCAGCAGCCGCGGUAAUACGUAGGGGGCAAGCGUUAUCCGGAUUUACUGGGUGUAAAGGGAGCGUAGACGGCAUGGCAAGUCUGAUGUGAAAACCCGGGGCUCAACCCCGGGACUGCAUUGGAAACUGUGUGGCUAGAGUGCAGGAGAGGUAAGUGGAAUUCCUAGUGUAGCGGUGAAAUGCGUAGAUAUUAGGAGGAACACCAGUGGCGAAGGCGGCUUACUGGACUGUAACUGACGUUGAGGCUCGAAGGCGUGGGGAGCAAACAGG